rnacentral:rRNA from 1 species
CCUAAUACAUGCAAGUCGAGCGGAUUGAUGGGAGCUUGCUCCCAUCAGUCAGCGGCGGACGGGUGAGUAACACGUGGGUAACCUGCCUGUAAGACUGGGAUAACUCCGGGAAACCGGGGCUAAUACCGGAUAACUCAUUUCCUCGCAUGAGGAAAUGUUGAAAGGUGGCUUUUAGCUAUCACUUACAGAUGGACCCGCGGCGCAUUAGCUAGUUGGUGAGGUAAUGGCUCACCAAGGCGACGAUGCGUAGCCGACCUGAGAGGGUGAUCGGCCACACUGGGACUGAGACACGGCCCAGACUCCUACGGGAGGCAGCAGUAGGGAAUCUUCCGCAAUGGACGAAAGUCUGACGGAGCAACGCCGCGUGAGUGAUGAAGGUUUUCGGAUCGUAAAGCUCUGUUUUAGGGAAGAACAAGUACCGUUCGAAUAGGGCGGUACC